UGCAACAAGAUUUGACUCCAAACGCCGGGGUGACACUGACAACCGGCAGGAAAAAUCUAACUCUUUAUGUUCCGAAGGCUCAACAAGAACUCCCACCACUGCCAAGGAGAGGCUGAUGGAAGCCUUUGUGUCCAUCCAGCUGGAAAAAGUGGGUCUGCGUGAUGAGAUGCUGAAUUCAUUUAUGAAGAAGAAACAGGCCGUAGGGGGUCUUAUAAAAACCCCAGAGGAAGCAGUGAAGAUCAAAAGGAGCCUCAUAAUCGACUUUCUCAAGAAGUACGUGCAUGAAAAACAGCUCUAUUCCUUUUGUUACAAGACAAUACACAACCCGUCUCAUAAGAGU